rnacentral:rRNA from 1 species
UACAGAGGUCCCCAAGCGUUUGUUCGGAUUCAUUGGGCGUAAAGGGUGCGUAGGCGGCGCGGUAAGUCGGGUGUGAAAUCUCGGAGCUUAACUCCGAAACUGCAUUCGAUACUGCCGUGCUUGAGGACUGGAGAGGAGACUGGAAUUUACGGUGUAGCGGUGAAAUGCGUAGAUAUCGUAAGGAAGACCAGUGGCGAAGGCGGGUCUCUGGACAGUUCCUGACGCUGAGGCACGAAGGCCAGGGGAGCAAACGGGG